rnacentral:ncRNA from 2 species
GUCGAUCUGUUGGGGUGCCCCGCGCGGGGCUGAGAUGCGCAAGCGAACCCAUCGAACCUGAACCGGCUAGCACCGGCGGAGGGAACAGAGACGUUCGCGGC